rnacentral:tRNA from 1 species
UCCGGGGUAACUCAAUUGGCAGAGUGCGGCGCUGUUAACGCCGAGGUUGUGGGUUCGAGUCCCACCCCCGGAG